GAUGAACGCUGGCGGCGUGCCUAAUACAUGCAAGUCGAGCGAACAGAUGAGGAGCUUGCUCCUCUGACGUUAGCGGCGGACGGGUGAGUAACACGUGGAUAACCUACCUAUAAGACUGGGAUAACUUCGGGAAACCGGAGCUAAUACCGGAUAAUAUAUUGAACCGCAUGGUUCAAUAGUGAAAGACGGUUUUGCUGUCACUAUUGAUUGAUCCGCGCCGCAUUAGCUAGUUGGUAAGGUAACGGCUUACCAAGGCAACGAUGCGUAGCCGACCUGAGAGGGUGAUCGGCCACACUGGAACUGAGACACGGUCCAGACUCCUACGGGAGGCAGCAGUAGGGAAUCUUCCGCAAUGGGCGAAAGCCUGACGGAGCAACGCCGCGUGAGUGAUGAAGGUCUUCGGAUCGUAAAACUCUGUUAUUAGGGAAGAACAAAUGUGUAAGUAACUAUGCACGUCUUGACGGUACCUAAUCAGAAAGCCACGGCUAACUACGUG
rnacentral:rRNA from 1 species